AUGUGUGAUUUUUCUCUUGUGAAUUUUCUUCAAGUUUCAGUGUUUUUUCUAAUCUAACCAUGUCUUUAUUUUCUGGACAAACAGUCAAUUCUAUCGUUGGUGCAGUUUCGAAUUUUGUUGGUGUUGCUCUGGGUUCUUCUCUUGUUGCUGUACCGAAUUGUUGAAGGGCUACUCAGCUUCCUUGAGAGUCUUCUUUUUAGAGAGCAUGUUGCGAACCAACAGAUUGAGCCCUAUGUUUCUAACAGACCACCUCCUCUGAAGGCAGCUUGUUCUUUGACGAUGUCUACUAAUCGGGUCGAAACUGGUUCUCCUGUGCCACUGAAGAAAUACUACGCUGUUCGGAAGGGAUUCAAGUCCAAGGAUUUACUCUAGUUGGGAGGAGUGUAGGUUAGCAGUGAGUGGCUAUAGUAAUUUUGAGUUUAGGGUUUUCAGGACGUUGUAUGAUGCAGAGAUGUACCUGCUAGUCAGUUGAUUCAAUCAAUUUGAAUUGUUGAAUUUCCUUUACAGUUUUUAGGUUGAGUUUUUUCCUGUAGUUUUCAAAUUUUGUUCUACCUAGGGCUUUGGUUUAGUAUGUCAGCGGGUUGUUCUGAAGUUGGGACAAAUUCUACUUUGAUUAUUCUAUCUUCUAUCAUCUGUCUAGUGAAGUGCCAAUCUACUUCGAAAUGUUUGGUUUUAUCAUGGAACAUUGGAUCUUUUGCUAUCUUGAUGUUACUCUGAUUGUCACAGCCUAUGUAAGUGGGUUGGUUGAUACCAAAUCCUAAUUUAUUGAUUAGUCUUCUGAGCCAUAUGGCUUCACACAUGCAUUUUGCUAGGGCUCUAUAUUCUGAUUCACAUGAUGAUCUUGCAGGUGAUUGAGCUCCAUAAUAUGGAAGUUUUUCCAAAAUAGAAUAGAUACGUAUCUGUGGAUGUUCUGUCAUGUGGGUUGCCUGCAUAGUCCGCAUCUGAGAAUCCGUAGAGCUGGUUUUCCUCUCCCUUUGAAAACCAAAUGCCGAGCGACGGAUGUUUGCGAAGAUACUUGAUGAUGCAUAGCGCAACAUAGUGGUGGAGCUGUUGGGGACCAUGCAUGUAUCGGCUGAUUAAUGAGGCGGAAAAUCCAAGAUCGGGUCGGGUUUUUGUCACAUAAUGCAGCUUUCCGACAAGGGCUUUAUAUGCGAUUUCGUGUGUGGGUGGAGACUUGGUGUCCUUGCUGAGGCGAACGGCGUCGUGGAUGGGGAUGUGAACCGAGGUAGGGCUCGCGUAUUCAGCUAGGAUGGAUUUUACGUACGCGGUUUGGUGAAGUAGGAUGCCGCAAUUUGAUUGUAGGACUUCAACGCAGAGGAACUUUUGCAUAAUAUCCAUGUCAGUCAUUUUGUAUUGUCGGCCUAGAUCAGAUUUGAUGGUGGAAAUGUGGGUGGGGUGUGAUCCUAUGGUGAAAAGUUCCUCAACGUGGAAUAAGAGGAUGGUGACGGAAUUGCCGGCCCUAGAGUAGUAUACAUUAGGGUCGGCUUUGGUCUUGAUCAUUCCUCGAUGCUGUAGAUUGCUAUCUAGCCAACUGUAACACAUAUGGGGGCUUUGUUUGAGACCAUAUAGCAAUCGUUUUAGUUUGCACACUAAGUGCUCCGUUCCUGGCUUGAUCCAACCUGGUGGCUAGUACAUGAAGACAUCCUCUUGAAGGAAGCCGUUGAAGAAGGCCGUGAUGACGUCGAGGUGAUAUAUAGGCCACCCGUGAUGUGCUGCUAGUCCAGUGAUGAGACAGAUGGAUUCCCAUCGUACAGUAGGCCGAGAUGGGUUGUACAUGGGGCUGAGUUUCGACAAGAUCCCAGGUAUGAUUUUCCAGGAUGGACUGGUAUUCCAAGGCCAUGGCAUCUCUCUAGCGCGGAUCAAGUUGAGCUUGUUCGAAGGUGAGAGUUUCUUCGCUUUUAUCAAUGCUCCCGAUGAAGACGUCUUUGAGUUCAGUUGGAAUGAAAUCAUGGUGUGAUUUAGGUGUGUGACGAAGUCGUGUAGACCGUCGCAGAAGAGGCAUUGAGUUUUGUGAGUUAUUGGACUGAGAUGGUUGGAACAUAACAUCGGCACUGUCUUGAGUAGUUCGAUCACGUGAAGUGGAUACUUGACAGUCCGGAUGUGGUGAGGGGAACUGUGUCGGCCUUGAUGACGUGACUGGAGAUGGUGGUUUGGGUGCCAGUUGAGGAUCUGAAUGUGAUGUAUCGGCGUGAUCCGCGUUGAGGGAUGGCCCUAUAACGGUCUUUUCGGGGAUGAGUGCCCUGAUUUUUCUGAGUUGGUGAAGUUGCAGCAUUUCGAUAUUGGGAAGUGGCUUGAUAUCUUUAGAUACCAGAACAAGAUUCACUGCGGGAUCAUAACACCAAUACGCCUUUGUGUAAUUAUCUGGACUGAGAAGUAUGCAGAGUCGGGAUCUAGGGAAGAGCUUGCAUCGGCCUUGUUUGGUGUAGGUCACGUAGGCGGGUGUGUCGAAUGCUUGCAGUGUGUCAUAUCGGGUUUAGUGCCAUUGAAUAGCUCUAGUGGUGUUUUAUCUAACUGCGAUUUACUAGAUCGCAGGUUCAUGACAAUGCAGGCUACCCGGACUACUUCGGCCCAGAGUGGUCCUGGUAGUUCACAAUCAUUAAGAAAGCAUCUUGUGAUAUCGAGUAUGGUUCUGUUUUGGCGUUCAACUACAUCGUUUUGAAGCCAACAGAGUGCAGGUUUUUCGUAAUACUUGGCGAGUAAAGAACAUGAGAUAUUGUUUGAAUUUCUCCAGAAGGCAAACGAAUAGCAACAUUGCCUACGUUCAUUACAUUGUGGCUAUGACCAACAGCAAAUGUGACAUGACUUCCAGUACUAGGUUUCAAUGAAGAGAAUACCGCUGCAGCUCCAGAAAUGUAAUUCGAAGCACCUGAAUUUAAAUCCCACGGUGUUGAUGAAGAAGUAUGAGAUUGUACUUGGUUGAUCUCAGCUAGAUAUGCAUCUAUUACAUGUGAAACAGUGGUAUCCUCAUCUCCUUGGCCGUCA